GCGCCGAUGGUUUAGUGGUAAAAUUCUCCGUUGCCAUCCCGCAGCGUCGGGGAGCCGGGGGUUCGAUUCCCCCUCGGCGCA
rnacentral:tRNA from 1 species